GUGCCAGCCGCCGCGGUAACACCCGCAGCUCGAGUGGUGGUCACUUUUAUUGAGCCUAAAGCGUUCGUAGCCGGUCCUGUAAAUCUUCAGAUAAAUUCUCUCGCUCAACGGGAGACCCUCUGAAGAGACUGUGGGACUAGGGACUGGGUGAGGUUGAAUGUACUUCUGGGGUAGGGGUAAAAUCCUGUAAUCCUGGAAGGACAACCGGUGGCGAAGGCGUUCAACUAGAACAGAUCCGACGGUGAGGAACGAGGGCUAGGGGAGCAAACCGGAUUAGAUACCCGGGUAGUCCUAGCUGUAAACACUGCCCACUUGGUGUUGCCUCUCCGUUGAGGGGAGGCAGUGCCGGAGCGAAGGUGUUAAGUGGGCCGCUUGGGGAGUAUGGUCGCAAGGCUGAAACUUAAAGGAAUUGGCGGGGGAGCACCGCAACGGGAGGAGCGUGCGGUUUAAUUGGAUUCAACGCCGGAAAACUCACCGGGAGCGACCUUUGGAUGAGAGUCAACCUGACGAGUUUACUCGAUAGAAGGAGAGGUGGUGCAUGGCCGUCGUCAGCUCGUACCGUAGGGCGUUCACUUAAGUGUGAUAACGAGCGAGACCCCCAUCUUUAAUUGCCAUGUUGUCUUUGCGGGCAACGGCACUUUAGAGGGACCGCCAGCGCUAAGCUGGAGGAAGGAGGGGUCGACGGCAGGUCAGUACGCCCCGAAUCUCCCGGGCUACACGCGCGCUACAAAGGACAGGACAAUGAGUUGCGACCUCGAAAGGGGUAGCUAACCUCGAAACCUGUUCGUAGUUAGGAUUGAGGGCUGUAACUCGCCCUCAUGAAUGUGGAUUCCGUAGUAAUCGCGGGUCAACAGCCCGCGGUGAAUAUGCCCCUGCUCCUUGCACACACCGCCCGUCAAACCAUCCGAGCUGGUGUUGGAUGAGGGUAUGCUCGAGAGAACAAACUCGAAUCUGAUGUCAGUGAGGAGGAAUGAGUCGUAACAAGGUAACC
rnacentral:rRNA from 1 species